UACGGAGGGUGCAAGCGUUGUUCGGAAUUACUGGGCGUAAAGCGCACGUAGGCGGCUCUUUAAGUCGGGGGUGAAAUCCUGGAGCUCAACUCCAGAACUGCCUUCGAUACUGUAGAGCUUGAGUUCGGGAGAGGUGAGUGGAACUGCGAGUGUAGAGGUGAAAUUCGUAGAUAUUCGCAAGAACACCGGUGGCGAAGGCGGAUCUCUGGGCCUGUCCUGACGCUGAGGCGCGAAAGCUAGGGGAGCGAACAGG
rnacentral:rRNA from 1 species